UCACAUCUUCACUUUUAGAGC
ensembl:piRNA 21ur-4861 ncRNA